GACGAACGCUGGCGGCGUGCUUAACACAUGCAAGUCGAACGGAAAGGCCCUGCUUUUGUGGGGUGCUCGUGUGGCGAACGGGUGAGUAACACGUGAGUAACCUGCCCCUGACUUUGGGAUAAAUUCAGGAAACAGGGGCUCUUACCGCAUAGGAGCUCCUGCUGCAUGGUGGGGGUUGGAAAGAUUCGGCGGUUGGGGAUGGACUAGCGGCUUAUCAGCUUGUUGGUGAGGUAGUGGCUUACCAAGGCUUUGAAGGGUAGCCGGCCUGGGAGGGGGACCGGCCACAUGGGGACUGAGAUACGGCCCAGACUCCUACGUGAGGCAGCAGUGGAGAAUAUUGCACAAUGGGCGGAAGCCUGAUGCAGCGACGCCGCGUGCGGAAUGACGGGCUUCGAGUUGUGAACCGCUGUCGCCUGUGACGAGGCGUGAGUGACGGUAAUGGGUAAAGAAGCACCGGCUAACUACGUG
rnacentral:rRNA from 1 species